UUACACUUCUUAUACCUGCAGAAGAAGAGCAUCCCCCAGGGAACAGCUGCUUCUUCAGCCUGGGUCCUGAGUGAAGAGUCCUGUGAAGCAAACUGGAAGUCAACCUACAGCCUAGAGCAGAACUAUCGCCUACCCCUCAGCACUCAUGCAAAUGAGCAAGAGGUGAUGCUGAAGCUGCAGCUCUCCUGGAGACAGGUGAUGCUGAAGCUGCAGCUCUCCUGGAGACCUUACUUGGAGAACUACCGCCCUAUUGGAAGAAAAGCCCAGAGAAUAUUCUACCCUACUCAGUAUUGCUGAUCUGUGGAAAGGCCUGAAGAUCCUCACACAGCUGUUGUCAAAGAGUGAUUUGCGAAGGCAUCAGGAGGAGGUCGUACCCACCACAGGUGUUCCGAUGAUCGCUUCUUAGAAUUUGGAAACUCUGGGAAGGUAGGAGAACACCUAACUCAUGGGGCUGUGCCAGCAUCCAAAGAGUGCUUGCUAUUUUGGUGUGAGUUUUAUAGGGCUCCAUUUAUGAAGAUUUUUCUCCCUGGCAUUUAGCAGAGCUGUUUUAUAGUCAUGAGAAAUGAGAAUGACUUUAACAAAUUACGGGAAAAUCAUAGCACAGUGACUUACACUCACUUAAUGCACGCUGCUGAAUGAAUGCAUGAGGGCACCCCUCCCUCCCAAUAAAGCAUAAG
rnacentral:lncRNA from 1 species